GAUGGUGCCAUAAGGCGGUUCCAGAGAGGACAGAAGAUGGUCCAUUUGGAGAAGAGGGAACUGACUCAGAGUGUCCAGCUGCCUUUUUGUGGUGCUUUUGUUGCAGGAUAUUCCUAGCUGUGGGCUAACAAAAAAGUCCCCACAGGCCGGAUCUGGCCCCUGGGCCUUAUGUUUUGCAGGCCAGAUCUAAACAGACAGAAACCUAAGGGAAAGAAAGACAAGGGGAAGAUGAAAAUCUGAGAACAGAGGAGAAAAAGACGGAGAAAGCAAGUGAACAUGACAGAGAGAAGGUGAAAGAAUGCCAAAAUGAGAAGAUAAGAGAGAAAGAGGUGAAUGAAAAUGGCAGGAAUGGAGAGAGAAAGAGAGAGAGAAAGAACGAACUCAGAAGAUGGUCUCAGCACUAUUUCACUCAGACAAAUGAAAAUAGGGCCCCCCUUCUAGUACUGCUUCUUCUAAUUUUUAUUACAAUAUUAUUGCUUGCUGUGUAGAAUCAAUAUGGGAAGCUCAUUCUAAACUCAAAGUAAUAUUCCCAUUAUGUUCAAAUUAAUACUGUAUUCAGUCUAAUAUUUCCCUCAAAUAAAUAUAUAUCCCACACCUGGGCA